rnacentral:tRNA from 1 species
UGGCUCAGUUGGUAGAGCAUGGUGUUUGCAACGCCAGGGUUGUGGGUUCGAUUCCCAG